GCCAGGCGUGGUGGUGCGCGCCUGUAAUCCCAGCUACUCGGGAGGCUGAGGCAGGAGAAUCACUUGAACCCAGGAGGUGGAGGUUGCAGUGAGCCGAGACUGCGCCAUCGCACUCCAGCCUGGGUAAUAGGGUGAGACUCUGUCUCAA
ensembl:misc_RNA Metazoa_SRP Metazoan signal recognition particle RNA